rnacentral:rRNA from 1 species
CCUACGGGGGGCAGCAGUGGGGAAUAUUGGACAAUGGGCGAAAGCCUGAUCCAGCCAUGCCGCGUGUGUGAAGAAGGCCUUCGGGUUGUAAAGCACUUUCAGUGGGGAAGAAAGCCUUGGGGCUAAUACCCUCGAGGAAGGACAUCACCCACAGAAGAAGCACCGGCUAACUCCGUGCCAGCAGCCGCGGUAAUACGGAGGGUGCGAGCGUUAAUCGGAAUUACUGGGCGUAAAGCGCGCGUAGGCGGUCUGAUAAGCCGGUUGUGAAAGCCCCGGGCUCAACCUGGGAACGGCAUCCGGAACUGUCAGGCUAGAGUGAAGGAGAGGAAGGUAGAAUUCCCGGUGUAGCGGUGAAAUGCGUAGAGAUCGGGAGGAAUACCAGUGGCGAAGGCGGCCUUCUGGACUGACACUGACGCUGAGGUGCGAAAGCGUGGGUAGCAAACAGGAUUAGAUACCCCAGUAGUC